rnacentral:rRNA from 1 species
UAAUACGAGGGGAGCUAGCGUUGUUCGGAAUUACUGGGCGUAAAGGGCGCGUAGGCGGUCCUAUAAGUCAGAUGUGAAAGCCCCGGGCUUAACCUGGGAGGUGCAUUUGAAACUGUAGAACUUGAGAUCGAGAGAGGAAAGCGGAAUUACGAGUGUAGAGGUGAAAUUCGUAGAUAUUCGUAAGAACACCAGUGGCGAAGGCGGCUUUCUGGCUCGAUACUGACGCUAAGGCGCGAAAGCGUGGGGAGCAAACAGG